CAAGUUAUUCUUAGUGAAGUUAUUAUUUACAAUAAUAUAUUUAGUUGUGCAAAUCAACUUAACUUGA
rnacentral:tRNA from 1 species